GAGAAGUAACGUAAGAAUAAGAAAAAAUAAGUAAAAAACAGUAGAAAAAAACAGAAGAAAAAUUAGGAAAACUGAUAUGAAAACGGUAUGAAAAAAAGGAAAAAAAAACCCCGAAUAAAGAUUCCGAAAACGCUGUCGACCGACACCCUUUCGCGGGCGGUAAUGGGCCGGCUUAUAUCAGUGGAUCCCAGACAUUAACGGAACAUGGCAGCUUUGCAGUGAUCGAGCAGUGAGUCUGUGAGUGGCAUGCGGCAGGAUACAUGCAUCGAUGGGAUCCAUGCACGUAAAUGAUGUGCGUACUACUACAAGCACAUGCACAUGCACAUGCAUGCAUGCUCCUAGGAAUUAAUCCGGCACUAUUCUCCGUCCAUCAUGGCGAUCAGAGGGCCAUGGCCGGAUCGCUCGGCAGCUCGCACGCUGGCUAGAC
rnacentral:lncRNA from 1 species